rnacentral:rRNA from 1 species
CGGUAUUAUGACCGUGCGAAGGUAGCAUAAUCAUUAGUCUUUUAAUUGGAGGCUGGAAUGAAUGGUUAGACGAGAAAUUAACUGUCUUGAAUUUUGAAACUUGAAUUUAACUUUUAAGUGAGAAGGCUUAAAUGGGCUAGGGGGACGAUAAGACCCUAUAAAGUUUGUACAUUAGGCUAAUUAAGAGUGAUUUAGAUUUAUAAGGCUUUAUUAUUAGGGGGUGUUAAGUUGGGGCGACUAGGAUAUAAUUUAUAUAACUGUUUCUUUAUUAUAAUCAGAAAUAUUUGAGUUUAUGAUCCUUUUUUAGGAUUUUUAGAGUAAAUUACUUUAGGGAUAACAGCGUAAUUUUUUUUGAGAGUUCAUAUCGAUAAAAGAGUUUGCGACCUCGAUGUUGAAUUAAAAUUUCUUUGUGAUGCAGCAGUUACAUGAGAAGG